rnacentral:rRNA from 1 species
GCUCAAUGAAAACUCAAUAAAUAGCCGCAGUUCACCUGUGCUAAGGUAGCAUAAUAAUUUGCUUCUUAAUUAGAAGAUAGAAUGAAUGGUCACACAUCAAAAGUAUAUUUCUCUCAGACUUAACUAAAUUAAAAUUAAAGUCAAAAUUCUUUUAAGUACAGCGGGACGACAAGACCCUGAUAAACUUAACAUUUAGUUGGGGAAACACCUUAAAAACACUUUAAUAAUUCAAACUACAUAACUUUCAAGCAAAAUCGAGAUUAGUUACUACAGGGAUAACAGCGUCAUUUCUUUUCAGAGACCUUAUCUAAAAAGAAGAUUACGACCUCGAUGUUGAAUUAAUUUACCUAUAAAGUGCAAAAGCUUAUAUAAGGCAGUCUGUUCGACCGUUAAAAAUUUACAUGAUUUGAGUUCAGAUCGGUGCAAGCCAGAUCGGUUUCUAUCUGCUAUAAUAAAUCAAUAGUACGAAAGGACCUUAAUUUAUGAUAAAAU